GAACGAACGCUGGCGGCGUGCCUAACACAUGCAAGUCGAGCGAGAAAGUUCCCUUCGGGGAGCGAGUACAGCGGCGAACGGGUGAGUACAACGUAGGUAACCUACCCCCGAGACUGGGAUAACCUGUCGAAAGACGGGCUAAUACCGGAUAAGACCACGAGGGCUCGGCCCUGGGGUAAAAGUAGGCCUCUGCUUGCAAGCUACUACUCGAGGACGGGCCUGCGCGCCAUUAGCUAGUUGGUGAGGAACGGCUCACCAAGGCGAAGAUGGCUAGCUGGUCUGAGAGGAUGGCCAGCCACACUGGGACUGAGACACGGCCCAGACUCCUACGGGAGGCAGCAGUGGGGAAUAUUGCGCAAUGGGCGAAAGCCUGACGCAGCGACGCCGCGUGGGUGAU
rnacentral:rRNA from 1 species